UAAAUUUUAUUUUAUUUAAAUAUUCGUAUACAACAUGUAUUUAAUAUUUAAGUGCAUCUCGCUGGAAUCGAGAAGCACUGUAUUUACUCGACUCUGGUUGUUUUUGUGUUUUUUCUUUAUGUGCCCUCUUCCCUUUGGAUCCUGCUGCAGUUGUAAGUCUCAUCUUACAAUUUAUAAAAUUUUUGGGCAAAAAUUUAAAUACUUUACAUAUCUUAACUUUUGCAUAUUUAUUGUCAUUAUGUUUUUCAUUUCAUAGUUUUUUUCUGUCGUUUUACUCUGUACUAAGGGAAAGUGAAACAAUCUGCACUGAUAAUUAUUUCAUUAUGUACUCAUACAUCAAACGACACACGGAACACUUGAUGGGACAAUAUUAAUCCAAACAACAGCCGCAGAAACAGCAAUAAUUAUACAUGAUCAGCAAAUGAAAACUAAAGCAAUGCAAUGCAAUUGCAUAAAAUACUUAUCAUUGUACAAAGAUACACAAAGUACAUUUUGCUUUAUGUAUGUGCCCAGCUCAUGCACAAAUACAAACAUGCAUAAAUGCAUAUAUUUUACUGGCAUGCAUAUUUUAAAGGGUGAAUAUAUAGGAUGUUCUAUGAUAAGAGAAUGUUGCAUGGAAAGUUCUCUGGAGCUAAUCAAAUUUGUCUGAAAUAGGAAAAUUUUCGUUCAAGCAAUGUUUUCUACAAAAACUUUCCAACGACAAUUGGAUCUCCGCUCCGGAGCUAUUACUGUAUCAACCGGAAGUUUUUUUUCGCAGGGAAGAAUAUCCAGUUACAGUCAACCAGUUGCAACAACCUGAUCUUUCGAGGAAACUUUUCUUUUAGGAUGUGACAUGUCCACCACCAACAACCAACCAUCCAAUCAACCAUGCAAUCAUCUAUAACCCAGCCAUCAUACUUUGGAUAAUUUUAAGCAAACAACAACAAUAACGACUACAGCAACAACAAAAACAAUGUGUUUUUACAAAGUUACAUACAGAUAAAUAAAAUAGAAUAGAAAUAUAGAAUGGAUGGAUGGAUGAAUGUAUGGAUAUACUACUAGUUAUAGAUGUAUAGAUGGAUGUUUGGCUGGUUAGUUGGGUGACUGAAUGGUUGGGGAAUGUAAAAGACUAUAAAACGAACCCACACACAAACAUAUACAAUACGUUCGUAUUUUUAACUCAAUACAAAAUCUUCAUCUUUAUACUCUCACCCACUGGGUUACGUUUAAUGAAGUGUCAGCAUUAAACAUAUACAGACCCAGAGCCAUAGCUAACCAACAAGCAAAGUAAAGCACAGCACAGCUCAACACAGGCUGACGACUGGCACUGGCUGGAUAGAUGGAUGUUUGUUUGUUUGUUUGGCUGGCAAGCAGUAAAA